UACGAAGGGGGCUAGCGUUGCUCGGAAUUACUGGGCGUAAAGCGCACGUAGGCGGCUUUCUAAGUCGGGGGUGAAAUCCUGGAGCUCAACUCCAGAACUGCCUCGAUACUGGAGAGCUCGAGUCCGGGAGAGGUGAGUGGAACUGCGAGUGUAGAGGUGAAAUCGUAGAUAUUCGCAAGAACACCAGUGGCGAAGGCGGCUCCACUGGCCCGGUACUGACGCCU
rnacentral:rRNA from 1 species